rnacentral:lncRNA from 1 species
UUGAGUCAAAACAAGGUUUAGCAACUUAUUAUAUCUAUUUACCGCUUUGUAGUGUAGUAGUAGACCUGAUUACUAAUAAGUUGCUUCAUCUUUUUGUUGUUGUUUGUAAGACAUGUAAUCUUUUGGUCUAUAUUUUAAGACCCGUUCUAACUUGUGCAUAUCUAUGACAUUAUUAGACUACAUAUUCCCAAGGCUAGACCACCCAAAGUAUGAUCAAUUGGUUGGUGUAUAGAUCAAGAAUAGAGUACAUCUUAAUACACUUCAUUUGAUGGAAACAUGAUAUUUAUUUGUUGGGAUUAUCCUCAUUUAAUUUAAUUGUGGUACUUCAUUGAUUUCAGCAAAGAACUUUUUUGUCUAGUAACUUCAUAGUUCCAUGAGAUGUAUCCAUGACCGAUUUGUUAGCAGCCGGUGGUAUAGUACGUGGUACUCAUGGAGAGAAAGAUUACUUUUAGUUCAAUAAAUUUAGAAUGGUGCAUUUUCUUAUCCUUUUCACAAAAUCACAAAACUUAAUAUUUUCUUCUCACAAAACUACAAAGUCAGUUACAUUCUCCAUUCCAACACAAUGGGUCGAAGCCCAUCUGAUGGGUCAUGCACGGCAAUUGCAUGUCUCCUGGGAAUCUCGUUUCUAAAUUUUUUCCCUCCAAUCCUCCUUCUAAUUAAGUUUAUGUACUUUCCAAUUUCCUACCCCCUCUGAUCUAUUGUUGUCCUGCCGAUAAGGAUAAGAAGCAAUUAAUGAUGGUGUCUUGUUGAAGUUUUU